rnacentral:rRNA from 1 species
GAUGAACGCUGGCGGCGUGCCUAAUACAUGCAAGUCGAGCGAACAGACGAGGAGCUUGCUCCUCUGACGUUAGCGGCGGACGGGUGAGUAACACGUGGAUAACCUACCUAUAAGACUGGGAUAACUUCGGGAAACCGGAGCUAAUACCGGAUAAUAUAUUGAACCGCAUGGUUCAAUAGUGAAAGACGGUUUUGCUGUCACUUAUAGAUGGAUCCGCGCCGCAUUAGCUAGUUGGUAAGGUAACGGCUUACCAAGGCAACGAUGCGUAGCCGACCUGAGAGGGUGAUCAGCCACACUGGAACUGAGACACGGUCCAGACUCCUACGGGAGGCAGCAGUAGGGAAUCUUCCGCAAUGGGCGCAAGCUUGACGGAGCAACGCCGCGUGAGUGAUGAAGGUCUUCGGAUCGUAAAACUCUGUUAUUAGGGAAGAACAAAUGUGUAAGUAACUAUGCACGUCUUGACGGUACCUAAUCAGAAAGCAACGGCUAACUACGUG